rnacentral:rRNA from 1 species
CCUACGGGUGGCUGCAGUGGGGAAUCUUGCGCAAUGGGCGAAAGCCUGACGCAGUAACGCCGCGUGCGGGAAGAAGGCUCUCGGGUUGUAAACCGCUUUCAGAAGGAACGAAACUGACGGUACUUUCAGAAGAAGGUGCGGCCAACUACGUGCCAGCAGCCGCGGUGACACGUAGGCACCAAGCGUUGUCCGGAUUUAUUGGGCGUAAAGAGCUCGUAGGCGGUUCAGUAAGUCGGGUGUGAAAACUUUGGGCUUAACCCAAAGCCUGGAUCCGAUACUGCUGUGACUUGAGUACGGUAGGGGAGCGGGGAAUUUCUAGUGUAGCGGUGAAAUGCGCAGAGAUUAGAAGGAACACCGGUGGCGAAGGCGCCGCUCUGGGCCGUAACUGACGCUGAGGAGCGAAAGCGUGGGUAGCAAACAGGAUUAGAUACCCGAGUAGUC